GGUAUCUGCUCGUGGUAAGUGACAAGUCACCCACCACAAGGAAGAAUGGAGAGAAGGGAUAUUUUAAGAUUUUCUAGUGCUGCGAAUGAUCUCAGGUGGGAAAAUGCUUGCCUUACAUGCAAGAAUUCCUGGCUUCAAUCUCUGCAGCUCACGAAUAGUCCCAGAACCACAGAAGUCCAUAAAGUAUCUAGUCAUCCUACAAAGAAGAAGAGAGGAGAAAUGGCAAAAUGUACAUCAGAGAGGAAGCCUCCAUCUAGAACUAUCACAAGUACAUCGAAAGCCAAGAGGUGAAGGUCCCAAAAAUCUGGCCAACAACACUUGAAGAGAAAUUAAUCUUAUACAACCAAGAGACAGAGGAAGACUCCACCAUCUCUGGGGAUGGGGGGAGAAGUAGAUAAAAAGCUAGUUGGGCUAGGUCAGACUAAAAAAAAAAACAUCUGGUUAACUAUG
rnacentral:lncRNA from 1 species